ACUCAACACUAUUUAUUUAGAAAGGAUGAGUCUUGGUUUUUAAAGCAUGCCGAUUUUUAGUAUCGGAUCCUUGACAAGCCAGUUAGUCCUAAACCUGUUUUUACGGAGUUU
rnacentral:sRNA from 2 species